rnacentral:lncRNA from 1 species
CUAUCUACUUUCCUUUUAACUGUUGCCCUGUAUUGCAGUGGCUGAAAAGCUAAAGGCUCUAAUUUGCAGACUCCUUUACAGCCAGGAUUCCAGAAGACUCAGGUCUGAUGAAUGAGAUGCACGCUCCUGGGUGGCAGAGCAGAUAGGAGAGCAGAAGAGUCAGAGUAAGGGGAAGGUGAUGUGAAUGAAGAUGGAGCAGAAAAAUGUGAGCACACACCUUGCAGGGAAGCCAGCAACCGCCAGAAGCAGAAGCAGCAAAGGCAGAAUCUUCCAGUUGAACCUCCAGAGAAAGUAUGGCCCUGACGACAAACUAAUUUUGGACUUCUGGCUUCCUGAUACGUGAGAGAAUAAAUUUGUAUUGUUUUGAG